rnacentral:sRNA from 1 species
GCUCAAACAUAAAUGUUUGAGUUCACUCCUCACACCACACUCCGCCCAGGCUUUUAGUCUGGGCGGUU